ACGUUUUCACCUUCGGGAGACAGGGAGACAGGUGGUGCAUGGUUGUCGUCAGCUCGUGUCGUGAGAUGUUGGGUUAAGUCCCGCAACGAGCGCAACCCCUACGUUUAGUUGCUAACGCGUGAAGGCGAGCACUCUAGACGAACUGCCGUUGACAAAACGGAGGAAGUGGGAUGACGUCAAAUCAUCAUGCCCCUUAUGUUCUGGGCUACACACGUGCUACAAUGGCCGGUACAGACGGACGCAAAGCCGCGAGGCGGAGCAAAUCCGAAAAAGCCGGUCUCAGUUCGGAUUGCAGGCUGCAAUUCGCCUGCAUGAAGUCGGAAUCGCUAGUAAUCGCAGGUCAGCAUACUGCGGUGAAUACGUUCCCGGGCCUU
rnacentral:rRNA from 1 species